AUGGUGCUGAGUUAUAAUGCUAAAUAUGGUGCCGAUCUCGACAGCCCACUGUUACUUAUCAACACUAGUAUUAUAUCUCAACUGGCGGACGAUACCACUCUUUUUCUUAGAGAUGAAAAUCAAGUCUCUGGUGCAAUAAAUACCAUAGAAAAAUUUUCCAUGGCCUCUGGCUUAAGGCUGAAUAUCAAUAAGUGUGAAAUCAUGUCUAUUAAGGACAGCAUGAAAUCUUCCAUUUGUAGUAUCCCAGUCAAGAGUGAACUUGUUCAUUUAGGUAUCACAAUUACCAAGGACCAACAAAAAAGGUCUUUAUUGAACUUCAACCCUAUUAUUCAAAGAACCAGAAAAAAGCUGAACCAGUGGUUGUUGCGGGAUCUCUCCCUCAGAGGCAGAACCCUACUGUCUAAGACAGAAGGUUUAUCACGGUUAACAUAUCCAGCUCUAUCUCUGUAUGUGGACAAAAAACAUAUUACUGAGAUUGACAAGCUACUUUUUAAUUUCUUAUGGAAAAAUAGAACUCAUCAUGUGAAGAAGUCUGUUCUAACAAAUGACUAUGAAAAGGGUGGAUUAAACUUUAUCGAUUUCUGUACUCUUAAUAAUACUUUUAAAGUAAAUUGUUUGAAACAUUUCUUUAAAAAUCCUAAUUCUAUUUGGAAUGUCAUACCAUGUCAUAUUCUGUCAAAACUGGGUGGGUUGAGCUAUUUCUUAACCUGUAAUUAUAAUAUUGAUAAAGUCCCGAUAAAAAUGUCAUCUUUUCACCGCCAGGCCUUCCUUUCAUGGUCUCUUAUUUUCAAGCACAACUUUUCACCUAACAAAUAUUACAUAUGGAACAACAAAGACAUACUGUUUAAACACAAAUCUUUAUUUAUUGAUUACUGGUUUAAUAAUAACAUUAUUUUUGUUGACCAAUUAUUUAACAGGGAUGGUUGUCUUUACUCUUAUAAUGAGUUUCUAGAAGAAUACAAAAUUCCUGUGUCUCCUGGAGAUUAUGCCAAAGUCUUUGGAGCAAUUUCCUCUGGUGUCUGCAUGUUAUAUAGAGCUCAACCAAGAUUGGACGCACAACAACUAACUUUGUUAUCGCUGACUGAUACUUCAGUUGGUAAGAUUUGUUUUUCUUGUAACAAUGGUAAGAACAAUAAACUAAUUAGAUCCCUGUUCAAAACAGAUAUUAUCACAGUCCCAUAUGUGGUUCCAUACUGGAAUAAAUUUGUGCAAAACAUUGACUGGAAGAAGGUCUGGCUCUUACCCAACCAAUAUUUGCUGACCAACAAAAUUAGAGAAGUAUCAUUUAAAAUAAUUCAUAAGUUUUACCCAUCUAAUGAUCAUAUUGUUAAAAAAUUUAAAAAAGACAUUGAUGUAAUGUGCACUUUCUGCUCUAUGAGUAUUGAAACAGUUACCCAUUUGUUUUGGCACUGCCCUUUUGUCCAGAGUUUCUGGUCUGACAUUUGUAAUUUUAUUGCAGAAAAAAUUGAGAAAGAUUUCAAGUUGUUUUGGAAGGAUGUUCUUUUUGGCCUUUAUGACCUCAACAGAACUAAGACUAGGCCUAGUGAAACUUUCAUUAUUAAUCUCAUUAUUCUCUUGGCAAAAUCUUACAUUCAUAAAUGUAAGUUUGUGCAUUCCAAAACAUCUUUUAUUGGCUUUAACAUUGAGGUCAAGCAAUAUGUCAACACAAUUAGUAUUCUCUUAAUCAAAAGGCGACAAAAACUGUGA
ensembl:lncRNA